GGCGCCUGUAGUUCCAGCUACUGGGGAGGCUGAGGCAGGAGAAUGGCGUGAACCCAGGAGGCGGAGCUUGCAGUGAGCCGAGAUUGCACCACUGCACUCCAGCCUAGGCAACAGAGUGAGACUCUGUCUAAAAAAAAAAAAGAAAAGAAAAAAGAAACCAACAGGCAAACUUGGGAGGGCCUUUAUUCUUCUUGGCAGGGAAAAUUGAGAUUAGUGAAAUUCAGUCAUGGUUUCUUGUUUCUUUUAGACUUCAACACUACCCCAGGACUUCCCAUCAGCAAAGUAGAUGCUUUUGUUCUAGAGCAAUGGGGCAAGGUUCCCCUACCCACAGGAACAUAAGGAAAAUCCCAGAGUCUCGGAAGGGUUUAAAGAUCUCAGGAGGCUCAGUUUCUGUCUUAGUUUGCCUUGUGACUUGACACUUUCUUUAAUUCAGAAAAUAAUUUAUAUUAAUAAUGUACAGUACAUAGUCUGGCAGAGAGGUAACUUAUGUUGCUGAAGGAUACAGUAAAUCUCAUAAAGCGGAAAUGAAACAGGAGAAACUGUAAGACUAGUUUGGCUUUCACCCUUGUACUCAAACUAUAGUACCAUUUUACUGAAACUAUAAUACUAAAUAUGUUAUUUGAGGAAUAUUACUUCAUUUGGGCCUAGUACUUAACUACUCUAUAGCAGCAGAGACUGGACAAUUAUGUGCCAAGGUUCUUAAACUAUAUUUAAAAGCUUUAAAAAGGCCAGGGAUGGUGGCUCAGGCCUGUAAUCCCAGCACUUUGGGAGGCUGAGGUAGGUGUAUGACUUGAGCCUAGGAGUUGGAGACCAGUCUGGGUAACAUGGUGAAACCCCGUCUCUACAAAAAAUACAAAACAGGCUGGACGCAGUGGCUCAUGGCUGUAAUCCCAGCACUUUGGGAGGCUGAGGCAGGCAGAUCACUUGAGGUCAAGAGUUUGAGACCAGCCUGGCCAACAUGGCGAAACCCCAUCUCUACUAAAACUACAGAAAUUAACUGGGUGUUGUGGUGCACACCUGUAAUCCCAGCUACUUGGGAGACUGAGGCAGAAGAAUCCCUUGAACCCAGCAGGCAGAGGUUGCAGUGAACCAAGAUCACACCAUUGCACUCCAGCCUGGACAACAGAGUGAGACUCCAUCUCAAAAAAAAAAAAAGAAAAGAAAAGAAAAGAAAAAACAAAAAACAAAUAAACAAAAACAUUAGCUGGCCAUCAUAGUACAUGCCUAUAGUCCCAGCCACUUGGGAGGCUGAGGCAGGAGGAUCGCUUGAGCACAGGAGUUUGAGCCUGCAGUGAGUCAUGAUCCUGCCACUUCACUCCAGCCUGGACAGAGCAAGAACCUCACUCAGGAAGACAUAAUAAAAUAAAAGCUUAAAUAAUUUGAACCAAAGGGAAGGGCCUCAACUCUAUCCUAAAUACAAUAGAAGACUCACCAACUUUAUACUGGACACAAGUGCAGUAGAGUUUGGUAUGCGCCUAGGAGCUGAACAUACGAGUGAAGAUGCCAUGUGGGAACUGAAUCCUCCAGCCAGAACCGUUCAUACUUCUUCAGUCCCUAGUCGUUUGAGUCAUCCCUAAAUAUUCCAGUCAUCCAGCUGAGGCCCUGGCCUUGUAGAAUAGAGAAGAGCUGCCCCCCUAACUGCUGUGCCCUUUCUGUAUUCUGGACCCAUGGACUCUCAGGAACCUAACAAAAUGGUUGUUUUACAUCAGUAAGUUUUGGGGUAGUUUGUUGUGCAGCAAUAGAUAAAGGGAACACCUUCUCUCAGAAUCUGUGUGUUUUAGUUGGGGAGAUAGCUGCCCAGCUAGAUACUACAUUUCCCAGCCUCCUCACUUACGGGUGAACGUGGCUGUAAAUCCUGUGUAGGGUAUGUGAAUGGAAGAUGCAAUUUCCAAGUCAUAUCAAUAAAAUGUUAAGUGCUCGUU